UAAUGAUGGUGAGGGGAAUUUCUGAGCAUACCCUUAAAUCUCUCCUAGCUUGGUAGAGAUUCUCUCCUUCUUUCUGUCUGAAAUGUAAGAUCUUACUCCUCAAACA
rfam:Capsicum annuum cultivar Zunla-1 chromosome 9, whole genome shotgun sequence